UACGUAGGGCGCAAGCGUUGUCCGGAAUUAUUGGGCGUAAAGAGCUCGUAGGCGGCCUGUUGCGUCCGCUGUGAAAUCCCGGGGCUUAACCCCGGGCGUGCAGUGGAUACGGGCUGGCUGGAGGCAGGCAGGGGAGAACGGAAUUCCCGGUGUAGCGGUGAAAUGCGCAGAUAUCGGGAGGAACACCGGUGGCGAAGGCGGUUCUCUGGGCCUGUUCUGGACGCUGAGGAGCGAAAGCGUGGGGAGCGAACAGG
rnacentral:rRNA from 1 species